GAAACCUUUCCUCCAGCACAUACUAGUAUGUUUUGCAAGGCAAAAAUAAGCAGUAAUGCAAACAUCACACUUUUUUUUUUUUUCCACCCCCUCUCUUUUUUUCCCUUUGCUUCAGGAAAGCGGGAGGAGGUGAGAAAGGAUCGACACUUUAUCCCACCAAGGGCUUUUUCUAAGAUGCCUGCUGGGAACACUCGCUGUAUGCUUCUCUUCAGCAGUUUUGAGAUGAACACGGCGCUUGUUUUAUGCUUAGACCGACCUCAUCUGUGAUACCCGAACAGUUUCUACAUGGCCAGUGGAGAGAUCUUGCGCUUACGCACGUGCAUAUAUGCGCACACACAGGUACACCCCACCGGUGAAGGAUUAGUCGGUGUAAGAAAUCCGGGAGGAAAAAUUAUGAAUUCACAGAAAAUACACAAAAUACUAUGCCCAGAUAGCCAGGAGAAGCGACAUUUAGAGCACCUGUACUGAAAGGGAGAAGGUAGAAGAGCUGGUGUGCGUGCCCUGCUUCCUGUACUGUUACGCAGAUUCUGAACACAGCAAAUCGAGGAGAGGGCUACGCCAAACGGACGGCUCUCCCGGACGGGCUCGGCGCCGCGCACACCGGGGGAAGGUCUGAACGCAAGCUCGACGGCAACUCUCUGCUCGGUCUGCCAAGGCUCCAGCUCCAAACUGCUUCUCGGCAUCCUCCACCUUCUUUUUCAAAACCAGGCACCAACACCGUGGACUGGAAGCCUGCAGCUGGGAGCAAAGAGUGACUGCCGCAGCCCGCUGAUCCCCGUCGGCUGAGGCACCCCCAGACAUAGCAGCGCACCCCCUUUCCAGCAGCUGAGCCCCGCACAGCGGCCGUGGCACGACGGAGAUGCGGGUCUCGUGGGUAUUCACCCCAUCUACGCCAGCGUCUGAGAGCUCAGCUGCCUCUCGCAGAGCCUGAGGAUGUCUGCAGCAGCCU